UACGAAGGGGGCUAGCGUUGCUCGGAAUCACUGGGCGUAAAGCGCACGUAGGCGGGUCGUUAAGUCGGGGGUGAAAUCCUGGAGCUCAACUCCAGAACUGCCUUCGAUACUGGCGAUCUUGAGUCUGGGAGAGGUGAGUGGAACUCCGAGUGUAGAGGUGAAAUUCGUAGAUAUUCGGAAGAACACCAGUGGCGAAGGCGGCUCACUGGCCCGGUACUGACGCUGAGGUGCGAAAGCUAGGGGAGCAAACAGG
rnacentral:rRNA from 1 species